rnacentral:rRNA from 1 species
UAAGGAAUAUUGGACAAUGGAGGCAACUCUGAUCCAGCCAUCCCGCGUGCAGGAAGACGGCCCUAUGGGUUGUAAACUGCUUUUAGAUAGGAAGAACCGUACUCUUUUAAGAGUGCCUGACGGUACUAUCAGAAUAAGCACCGGCUAAUUCCGUGCCAGCAGCCGCGGUAAUACGGAAGGUGCAAGCGUUAUCCGGAAUCACUGGGUUUAAAGGGUGCGUAGGCGGGCUGAUAAGUCAGAAGUGAAAGCACGGCGCUUAACGUCGUAAUUGCUUUUGAUACUGUUGGUCUUGAGUAAGGUUGAGGUUGGCGGAAUGAGUCAUGUAGCGGUGAAAUGCAUAGAUAUGACUUAGAACACCGAUUGCGAAGGCAGCUGGCUAGACCUAUACUGACGCUGAGGCACGAAAGCGUGGGGAGCGAACAGGAUUAGAUACCCCUGUAGUCC